GCUGUGAUAGCUCAGUUGGUAGAGCAUGAGGCUCUUAAUCUCAAGGUUGUGGGUUCGAGCCCCACGUUGCGCAGACA